UUUAAUUCAUUCUUUGGAGAACACUCAACCCACUUAUCACAAGCAUGGAUCCUUGAACCAAGACAUCUUCCAAAGGAAGGAAAAAAGGCCAAGUUUUCACACAAUACCAUGAAAGAGGGGAGACUUACAAUCUUACUAACUAGAAUGUUAUGCCUUUGUGUCAAAAUUUAGCGUUAUGUUAAGCAAUCAUAAUUGGACUUAUGUAGAAG
rnacentral:lncRNA from 1 species